rnacentral:rRNA from 1 species
GGCCACUUCGGUGGUACUCGAGCGGCGAACGGGUGAGUAACACGUGAGUAAUCUGCCCUCCACUUUGGGAUAGCCACCGGAAACGGUGAUUAAUACCGGAUAUGACCUCGCAUCGCAUGGUGUGUGGUGGAAAGUUUUUCGGUGGGGGAUGUGCUCGCGGCCUAUCAGCUUGAUGGUGGGGUAAUGGCCUACCAUGGCUUCGACGGGUAGCCGGCCUGAGAGGGUGACCGGCCACACUGGGACUGAGACACGGCCCAGACUCCUACGGGAGGCAGCAGUGGGGAAUAUUGGACAAUGGGCGGAAGCCUGAUCCAGCAACGCCGCGUGAGGGAUGACGGCCUUCGGGUUGUAAACCUCUUUCAGCACAGACGAAGCGAAAGUGACGGUAUGUGCAGAAGAAGCACCGGCCAACUACGUGCCAGCAGCCGCGGUAAUACGUAGGGUGCGAGCGUUGUCCGGAAUUAUUGGGCGUAAAGGGCUCGUAGGCGGUUUGUCGCGUCGGGAGUGAAAACACACAGCUUAACUGUGUGCUGGCUUCCGAUACGGGCAGACUAGAGGUAUGCAGGGGAGAACGGAAUUCCUGGUGUAGCGGUGAAAUGCGCAGAUAUCAGGAGGAACACCGGUGGCGAAGGCGGUUCUCUGGGCAUUACCUGACGCUGAGGAGCGAAAGUGUGGGGAGCGAACAGGAUUAGAUACCCUGGUAGUCCACACCGUAAACGUUGGGCGCUAGGUGUGGGGCCUA